UCCAGGUGGGGUGGUGCAUGCCUGUAAUCCCAGCAGCUCAGGAGGUUGAGGCAGGAGAAUUGUGAGUUCAAAGCCAGCCUCAGCAAGAGGGGCACUAAGCAACUCAGUGAGACCCUGUCUCUA
rnacentral:sRNA from 1 species